CCCAGACACCCUCUGUUUCAGCCACUUUGGUCCAUUAGCUGCUAACCUGCAUCAGUCUGUCAUCUUGGGCAAGAUCCUACAUUCCAGACGACUGGACUCUCAUUUUUGUACAGGUGAUUUUACAAUGAUGGGAAAGUGGAAGACCUCAUUUUCAAGUUGGAGUGGAAAAAGUACUAUUUAUAGAGUCCAGCGUGAGACUCUUCAUUCAUGGCGUUGACCCUGAGGCCAAACAGAAGUCUGAAUCAUCAGAGGAAUGUUAAAUUAGAGUUUGGUUACCAUGCAUAUUGAGAAAAAUAUCAUUGAAUUUUCUCCAUGUCUUUCAUGUUGAGAACUAUACAAAUGCCAACAGCACCACACCCUCCAAAUGUAAGGAAACAGGUUUUAUUGCCAUCCCCUGGAGCAGUUAUCCAUGAACAGCUGUUCUCCCUAAACACAGUCCUUUGAUCCAAAAACCAUUGCCAAAUCCAGAGCAGAGUCUUAGUAGAGCCUGAAUGAGAGAACCCAAUGGUCUAGAGUCAAUGCGAGGCCAUCUAGUAUGAAGAG
rnacentral:lncRNA from 1 species